GUGGGGAAUCUUCCGCAAUGGACGAAAGUCUGACGGAGCAACGCCGCGUGAGUGAAGAAGUAUUUCGGUAUGUAAAGCUCUAUCAGCAGGGAAGAUAAUGACAGUACCUGACUAAGAAGCCCCGGCUAACUACGUGCCAGCAGCCGCGGUAAUACGUAGGGGGCAAGCGUUAUCCGGAUUUACUGGGUGUAAAGGGAGCGUAGACGGUAUGGUAAGUCAGAUGUGAAAGCCCGGGGCUCAACCCCGGGACUGCAUUUGAAACUAUCAGACUAGAGUGCAGGAGAGGUAAGUGGAAUUCCUAGUGUAGCGGUGAAAUGCGUAGAUAUUAGGAGGAACACCAGUGGCGAAGGCGGCUUACUGGACUGUAACUGACGUUGAGGCUCGAAAGCGUGGGGAGCAAACAGGAUUAGAAACCCUAGUAGUCC
rnacentral:rRNA from 1 species